rnacentral:sRNA from 1 species
GCGGUGGCGGGCGGAGGCGGCGGGCGAGGGCGACUACGACCAGUGAGGCGGCCGCCGCAGCCCAGGCGCGGGGGCGACGACAGGUUAAAAAUCUGUAAGAGCCUGAUUUUAGAAUUCACCAGCUCCUCAGAAGUUUGGCGAAAUAUGAGUUAUUAAGCCUACGCUCAGAUCAAGGUAACAGCUAGACUGGUGUGACAACCUGUUUUUAAUCAGUGACUCAAAGCUGUGAUCACCCUGAUGUCACCGAAUGGCCACAGCUUGUAAAAGAUCAGGAGAACCUCAGUCUGACGACAUUGAAGCUAGCCGAAUAAAGGAGCAAGCUCAGCUUACCUUGAGAACUCGAAAGGUGCCCCCAACAACUCCUGCUCUGAGAUAAAAAUGAACAAGAAAGGCGCUAGAAUUGAUUUUAAAGAUGUGACUUACUUAACAGAAGAGAAGGUAUAUGAAAUUCUUGAAUUAUGUAGAGAAAGAGAGGAUUAUUCCCCUUUAAUCCGUGUUAUUGGAAGAGUUUUUUCUAGUGCUGAGGCAUUGGUACAGAGCUUCCGGAAAGUUAAACAACACACCAAGGAAGAACUGAAAUCUCUUCAAGCAAAAGAUGAAGACAAGGAUGAAGAUGAAAAGGAAAAAGCUGCAUGUUCUGCUGCUGCUAUGGAAGAAGACUCAGAAGCAUCUUCCUCAAGGAUAGGUGAUAGCUCACAGGGAGACAACAAUUUGCAAAAAUUAGGCCCUGAUG